CCUUGACUAGACGGACCUUUGUUGGCAAAGUAAUGUCUCUGCUUUUGAAUAUGCUAUCUAGGUUGGUCAUAACUUUCCUUCCAAGAAGUAAGCGUCUUUUAAUUUCAUGGCUGCAGUCACCAUCUGCAGUGAUUUUGGAGCCCCCCAAAAUAAAUCUGACACUGUUUCCACUGUUUCCCCAUCUAUUUCUCAUGAAGUGAUGGGACCGGAUGCCAUGAUCUUAGUUUUCUGAAUGUUGAGCUUUAAGCCAACUUUUUCACUCUCCUCUUUCACUUUCACCAAGAGGCUUUUUAGUUCCCCUUCACUUUCUACCAUAAGGAUGGUGUCAUCU
ensembl:lncRNA